rnacentral:rRNA from 1 species
ACACAUGCAGUCGAGCGGUAACAGGUCCAGCUUGCUGGAUGCUGACGAGCGGCGGACGGGUGAGUAAUGCAUAGGAAUCUGCCCGAUAGUGGGGGAUAACCUGGGGAAACCCAGGCUAAUACCGCAUACGUCCUACGGGAGAAAGGGGGCUCCGGCUCCCGCUAUGGGAUGAGCCUAUGUCGGAUUAGCUAGUUGGUGAGGUAACGGCUCACCAAGGCCACGAUCCGUAGCUGGUCUGAGAGGAUGAUCAGCCACAUCGGGACUGAGACACGGCCCGAACUCCUACGGGAGGCAGCAGUGGGGAAUAUUGGACAAUGGGGGAAACCCUGAUCCAGCCAUGCCGCGUGUGUGAAGAAGGCCCUCGGGUUGUAAAGCACUUUCAGCGAGGAAGAACGCCUAGCGGUUAAUACCCGCUAGGAAAGACAUCACUCGCAGAAGAAGCACCGGCUAACUCCGUGCCAGCAGCCGCGGUAAUACGGAGGGUGCAAGCGUUAAUCGGAAUUACUGGGCGUAAAGCGCGCGUAGGUGGCUUGAUAAGCCGGUUGUGAAAGCCCCGGGCUCAACCUGGGAACGGCAUCCGGAACUGUCAAGCUAGAGUGCAGGAGAGGAAGGUAGAAUUCCCGGUGUAGCGGUGAAAUGCGUAGAGAUCGGGAGGAAUACCAGUGGCGAAGGCGGCCUUCUGGACUGACACUGACACUGAGGUGCGAAAGCGUGGGUAGCAAACAGGAUUAGAUACCCUGGUAGUCCACGCCGUAAACGAUGUCGACCAGCCGUUGGGUGCCUAGCGCACUUUGUGGCGAAGUUAACGCGAUAAGUCGACCGCCUGGGGAGUACGGCCGCAAGGUUAAAACUCAAAUGAAUUGACGGGGGCCCGCACAAGCGGUGGAGCAUGUGGUUUAAUUCGAUGCAACGC